rnacentral:rRNA from 1 species
GACGAACGCUGGCGGCGUGCCUAAUACAUGCAAGUUGAGCGCUGAAGGUUGGUACUUGUACCGACUGGAUGAGCAGCGAACGGGUGAGUAACGCGUGGGGAAUCUGCCUUUGAGCGGGGGACAACAUUUGGAAACGAAUGCUAAUACCGCAUAAAAACUUUAAACACAAGUUUUAAGUUUGAAAGAUGCAAUUGCAUCACUCAAAGAUGAUCCCGCGUUGUAUUAGCUAGUUGGUGAGGUAAAGGCUCACCAAGGCGAUGAUACAUAGCCGACCUGAGAGGGUGAUCGGCCACAUUGGGACUGAGACACGGCCCAAACUCCUACGGGAGGCAGCAGUAGGGAAUCUUCGGCAAUGGCCGAAAGUCUGACCGAGCAACGCCGCGUGAGUGAAGAAGGUUUUCGGAUCGUAAAACUCUGUUGGUAGAGAAGAACGUUGGUGAGAGUGGAAAGCUCAUCAAGUGACGGUAACUACCCAGAAAGGGACGGCUAACUACG